AUUGAACGCUAGCGGGAUGCCUUACACAUGCAAGUCGAACGGAGUGGCGAACGGGUGAGUAAUGUAUCGGAACGUGCCCAGUAGCGGGGGAUAACUACGCGAAAGCGUAGCUAAUACCGCAUACUAUUGGAGCGGCCGAUCUCGGAUUAGCUAGUUGGUGGGGUAAGGGCUCACCAAGGCGCCGCUCCGUAGCUGGUUUGUGAGUACGACCAGCCACACUGUGACUGAGACACGGCCCAGACUCCUACGGGAGGCAGAAUUGGGGAAUGUUGGAAAAUGGGGGAAACCCUGAUCCAGCCAUCCCGCGUGUGCGAAGAAGUCCUUCGGGUUGUAAAGCACUUUUGGCAGGAAAGCGGUACCUGCAGAAUAAGCACCGGCUAACUACGUGCCAGCCGCCGCGGUAAUAC
rnacentral:rRNA from 1 species